rnacentral:rRNA from 1 species
UACAGAGGUCCCAAGCGUUUGUUCGGAUUCACUGGGCGUAAAGGGUGCGUAGGUGGUUAGGUAAGUCUGAUGUGAAAUCUCUGGGCUCAACCCAGAAACUGCAUUGGAUACUAUCUAGCUAGAGGAGUGGAGGGGGGACUGGAAUACUUGGUGUAGCAGUGAAAUGCGCAGAUAUCAGGAAGAACACCCGUGGCGAAGGCGGCUCUCUGGGACGGUACUGACGCUGAGACGCGAAAGCGUGGGGAGCGAACAGG